rnacentral:lncRNA from 1 species
ACACGCGAGUCUGAUAAGCACCCUCCCCCGGAAUCAUGCGGUGCUGUGAGGCCUAGCGAAGAUGAAGAUAGAAUGCAAGAGUCUCACUCUAUCGCCCAGGCUGGAGUGCAAUGGUGCCAUCUCAGCUCACUGCAACCUCCCCUUCCCAAGUUCAAGCAAUUUUCAUGCCGCAGCCUCCUAGCUGGGAUUACAGUUUACAGAAGCACUUGCAGAACUCAUCAGAAGCCACCCCGCUUAUCAGCAGAUCUCAAGAGAGCGUUCGGUGGAGGCCCUGGGUCUGCACAGCUCACCUCCCUGGGAACUGCUCGCCCGAGCGUCGGAGCCGGCGCUGGCCCCCUGCAGCCGGAAGGUUGCAGCCGCAGGAGCCCCGGAGGCCCAGGACACAGGGCUCUUGCUCUUGCAGAAUCCACAGGUCUUUCUUGAGGAAAUCUGUAGACAGAACUUUGUGCUGCGUUUUUAUCUAGGGAAGGAACAGAAGAGUGUCGUCUCCUAGAAAUCUAGCACUGGAGAAACGAGGAAAAUUCUUCCAGCGAUGGUCU